AGCGAACGCUGGCGGCAGGCUUAACACAUGCAAGUCGAGCGGGCGUAGCAAUACGUCAGCGGCAGACGGGUGAGUAACGCGUGGGAACGUACCUUUUGGUUCGGAACAACACAGGGAAACUUGUGCUAAUACCGGAUAAGCCCUUACGGGGAAAGAUUUAUCGCCGAAAGAUCGGCCCGCGUCUGAUUAGCUAGUUGGUGAGGUAACGGCCCUCCAAGGCGACGAUCAGUAGCUGGUCUGAGAGGAUGAUCAGCCACAUUGGGACUGAGACACGGCCCAAACUCCUGCGGAAGGCAGCAGUGGGGAAUAUUGGACAAUGGGCGCAAGCCUGAUCCAGCCAUGCCGCGUGAGUGAUGAAGGCCCUAGGGUUGUAAAGCUCUUUUGUGCGGGAAGAUAAUGACGGUACCGCAAGAAUAAGCCCCGGCUAACUUCGUGCCAGCCGCCGCCGUAAGAC
rnacentral:rRNA from 1 species